rnacentral:rRNA from 1 species
CCUACGGGUGGCAGCAGUGAGGAAUAUUGGUCAAUGGACGAGAGCCUGAACCAGCCAAGUCGCGUGAAGGAUGAAGGAUCUAUGGUUUGUAAACUUCUUUUAUAUGGGAAUAAAGUGAGGAACGUGUUCCUUUUUGUAUGUACCAUAUGAAUAAGCAUCGGCUAACUCCGUGCCAGCAGCCGCGGUAAUACGGAGGAUGCGAGCGUUAUCCGGAUUUAUUGGGUUUAAAGGGUGCGUAGGUGGUUUAUUAAGUCAGCUGUGAAAGUUUGUGGCUCAACCAUAAAAUUGCCGUUGAAACUGGUAGACUUGAGUAUAUUUGAGGUAGGCGGAAGGCGUGGUGUAGCGGUGAAAUGCAUAGAUAUCACGCAGAACUCCGAUUGCGAAGGCAGCUUACUAAACUAUAACUGACACUGAAGCACGAAAGCGUGGGUAUCAAACAGGAUUAGAUACCCGUGUAGUC